CGUUCUCGGGUCUUGUACACACCGCCCGUCACACCAUGGAAGUGGAUUGCACCAGAAGUAGAUAGUCUAACCUUAGGGAGGGCGUUUACCACGGUGUGCUUCAUGACUGGGGUGAAGUCGUAACAAGGUAGCCGUAGGGGAACCUGUGGCUGGAUCACCUCCUU
rnacentral:rRNA from 1 species